rnacentral:rRNA from 1 species
UAGAUACCCUAUUAUUAUUAAUCAAUAUUGAGUUUGGAGAGUAAAAGCUUAUUGCUUAAAAACCAAAGAAUAUGGCGGUGUCUUAUUCUAUCAGGGGAACCUGUACCUUAAUUUGAUAGUCCACGUUUAUAUAAUCCUAAGUUUGAAAUUUCAGCUUGUGUACUGCCGAAUUAUAAGCUUCUAUAGAUUAGCUUAUAAAAGAAUUAAAUAAAAUAAUAAGUCAGGUCAAAGUGCAGCUCAUAUUUAGGUGGGAUUGGGUUACAUUUAUUUUAAGAUUCGAAUAAUUUUAUUUUGCAAUAUGAUUAUAAGAAGGAUUUGAAAGUAAUUAGAUAUUAUAUAUUUAAUGAAUUUGAUCCUAAGAUGUGUACACAUCGCCCGUCGCU